AUUGAACGCUGGCGGCAGGCCUAACACAUGCAAGUCGAACGAGUGGCGGACGGGUGAGUACUGUCUGGGAAACUGCCCGAUGGAGGGGGAUAACUACUGGAAACGGUAGCUAAUACCGCAUACCAUCGGAUGUGCCCAGAGGGGAUUAGCUAGUAGGUGGGGUAAAUGCUCAGCUAGGCGACGAUCCCUAGCUGGUCUGAGAGGAUGACCAGCCACACGUGAACUGAGACACGGUCCAGACUCCUCCGGGAGGCAGCAGUGGGGAAUAUUGCACAAUGGGCGCAAGCCUGAUGCAGCCAUGCCGCGUGUAUGAAGAAGGCCUUCGGGUUGUAAAGUACUUUCAGCUGGGAGGCGUUACCCGCAGAAGAAGCACCGGCUAACUCCGUGCCAGCAGCCGCGGUAAUAC
rnacentral:rRNA from 1 species